rnacentral:misc_RNA from 1 species
AACGAACGAAUCUCCAGUCUCGCCAAACUCUUUUUCCAUGAGCUGUCUCACAAGGGUAAUGCCAUCUACAACAUAAUGCCUGACGUGAUCAGUCGCCUGUCUGACCCAGAUGUUGGAGUGGAUGAGGAAAACUUCAGAAUUAUCAUGAAGUACCUAUUCUCCUUUAUUCAGAAGGACCGUCAGUGUGAAAGCUUGGUAGAAAAACUCUGUCAUCGCUUCAGGGCAACAAAGACGGACAGACAGUGGAGAGAUUUGUCCUUCUGUCUAUCUAUGAUGUCAUACAGUGAGAAGUCAAUACGUAAACUCCAGGAGAACUUUGCCUGUUUUGGGGACAAGUUGGCUGAUGAGGAUGUGUAUAGCUGUUUCUGUACCAUCAUCAGUAAAUCCAGGUCAUUUGCCAAACCCACAGCAAAGACCUUGAUAGAUGAGCUGGAGCAGCGUCUUCAGCAGUGUCACACCAAAGGGCUGGAGGACGGGGAGAUAGCGGUCAAGGCCAGUCAGGUCUCCUCCCAGGUGGCCGCACAGACGAAGGGGAAGUCCCGCACAAAGUCUGCCAAAACACCGGCCAAAGGCAGAACCCCAGCCAGAGGUAAGCGUGGUGGUCAACGCCGGCUAGACAGCAGCAGCGAAGAGGACUUUGUGGACGGGGUGGAGAAUACGACCCCAGCCCCACGUAGCAAACGCCAGCCCAAGGGAAGACAGGCUCGACAGAAACCCAAGGUCUCGUUUGAUUCUGACUCAGACAGUGAAAUAGAGCUGUUUGACCUAGAUAAAUCCUCCCAAGGCACUCAGGUGACGGGUGAGGGCGACCAGUCUGACGACUCGGACCUGAUGCCCACAAAGCGCUCAGCCAGGCGUGUCCUGACCUCCCCCCGCCGGAUCCUACCCCUCCAAGACCUCAACGGGGACGUCUGACGCACCCCACCCCCUCCUAGGGCCCCUCAGAGCGGGACCACGCCUUGUUCUGACGAGAGGGUGUAUACCGACGGAAUCUUGAUCUGUUAAUUCUUUCAUCAACGGAAUCUUAUGCUCUGUUAUCUCUCUCCAUUGUCUGCUAUCUCUUUUGUCAUAAUUAUGUAUCGUUAUUUAACCAUAUGAAUAAAUCUUAGAAAUAAACAA